CCUACGGGAGGCAGCAGUGGGGAAUAUUGCACAAUGGGGGAAACCCUGAUGCAGCGACGCCGCGUGAGUGAAGAAGUAUUUCGGUAUGUAAAGCUCUAUCAGCAGGGAAGAAAAUGACGGUACCUGAUUAAGAAGCCCCGGCUAACUACGUGCCAGCAGCCGCGGUUAUACGUAGGGGGCAAGCGUUAUCCGGAUUUACUGGGUGUAAAGGGAGCGUAGACGGCAGCACAAGUCUGGAGUGAAAUGCCGGGGCUUAACCCCGGAACUGCUUUGGAAACUGUGCAGCUAGAGUGCAGGAGAGGUAAGUGGAAUGCCUAGUGUAGCGGUGAAAUGCGUAGAUAUUAGGCAGAACACCAGUGGCGAAGGCGGCUUACUGGACUGUAACUGACGUUGAGGCUCGAAAGCGUGGGGAGCGAACAGGAUUAGAUACCCUGGUAGUC
rnacentral:rRNA from 1 species